ACUCCUACGGGAGGCAGCAGUAGGGAAUCUUCCGCAAUGGACGAAAGUCUGACGGAGCAACGCCGCGUGAGUGAUGAAGGUUUUCGGAUCGUAAAGCUCUGUUGUUAGGGAAGAACAAGUACGAGAGUAACUGCCGGUACCUUGACGGUACCUAACGAGAAAGCCACGGCUAACUACGUGCCAGCAGCCGCGGUAAUACGUAGGUGGCAAGCGUUGUCCGGAAUUAUUGGGCGUAAAGAGCGUGUAGGCGGCUUGGUAAGUCCGCUGUGAAAGUCCAGGGCUCAACCCUGGAAUGCCAGUGGAAACUGUCAAGCUAGAGUCCGGAAGAGGCGAGUGGAAUUCCUGGUGUAGCGGUGAAAUGCGCAGAUAUCUGGAGGAACACCAGUGGCGAAGGCGGCUCGCUGGGACGGUACUGACGCUGAGGCGCGAAAGCGUGGGGAGCAAACAGGAUUAGAAACCCUGGUAGUCCACGCCGUAAACGAUGGGCACUAGGUGUGGGGGGUGUCGACUCCCUCUGUGCCGACGCUAACGCAUUAAGUGCCCCGCCUGGGGAGUACGGCCGCAAGGCUAAAACUUAAAUGAAUUGACGG
rnacentral:rRNA from 1 species